rnacentral:lncRNA from 1 species
UUUUUCUUUUCUUUUUCCAAGUUUAUAGCUUGCACAAAUAAAUUAAACCCCCAAAUGAUUUCCGAAAAAUACAAAACAAGUAUCUAAAUUCUUCUAAAAACAAGCUCUACGUCUUAGGUUUAUUUAUGAGUGCAUUUGGUUCUUUCGACUUUUCUAUUUGAUUUUUGUGAUAUCUAUAGGGGUCGCUUAUCGCGACUAUAUGUCUCGUUUGACAGACCCGGAGGAGCCGACGACUGAGGAGUACGACCCCGACUACACUGAGGAGCUCGAGGAUGACUUGCCAGGUGCCACGUCCCACCC